AGCUCCAAUAGCGUAUAUUAAAGUUGUUGCGGUAAAAAAGCUCGUAGUUGGAUUUCUGUUGAGGACGGCCGGUCCAUACAAUGUAUGCGCAUCUGGCUCGGCCUCGGCAUCCUCUCGAUAAACGUUUCUGCGCUUGAUUGCGUGGUGCGGUUCUCGGGACUUUUACUUUGAGGAAAUUAGAGUGUUCACGGCAGGCUAUCGCCAGAAUACAUUAGCAUGGAAUAAUACUAUAGGAUUUCGAUUCUAUUUUGUUGGUUUCUAGGAUUGAAAUAAUGAUUAAUAGGGACAAUUGGGGGCAUUCGUAUCAACACGUCAGAGGUGAAAUUCUUGGAUUGUGUUGCGACGAACUACUGCGAAAGCAUUUGCCAAGGAUGUUUUCA
rnacentral:rRNA from 1 species